rnacentral:rRNA from 1 species
ACGAACGCUGGCGGCGUGCUUAACACAUGCAAGUCGAACGGAAAGGCCCUGCUUUUGUGGGGUGCUCGCGUGGCGAACGGGUGAGUAACACGUGAGUAACCUGCCCUUGACUUUGGGAUAACUUCAGGAAACUGGGGCUAAUACCGGAUAGGAGCUCCUGCUGCAUGGUGGGGGUUGGAAAGUUUCGGCGGUUGGGGAUGGACUCGCGGCUUAUCAGCUUGUUGGUGGGGUAGUGGCUUACCAAGGCUUUGACGGGUAGCCGGCCUGAGAGGGUGACCGGGCACAUUGGGACUGAGAUACGGCCCAGACUCCUACGGGAGGCAGCAGUGGGGAAUAUUGCACAAUGGGCGGAAGCCUGAUGCAGCAACGCCGCGUGCGGGAUGACGGCCUUCGGGUUGUAAACCGCUUUCGCCUGUGACGAAGCGUGAGUGACGGUAAUGGGUAAAGAAGCACCGGCUAACUACGUG